rnacentral:rRNA from 1 species
UGACGGGAACUCAAAGGAGACUGCCAGUGAUAAACUGGAGGAAGGUGGGGAUGACGUCAAGUCAUCAUGGCCCUUACGACCAGGGCUACACACGUGCUACAAUGGCAUAUACAAAGAGAAGCGACCUCGCGAGAGCAAGCGGACCUCAUAAAGUAUGUCGUAGUCCGGAUUGGAGUCUGCAACUCGACUCCAUGAAGUCGGAAUCGCUAGUAAUCGUAGAUCAGAAUGCUACGGUGAAUACGUUCCCGGGCCUUGUACACACCGCCCGUCACACCAUGGGAGUGGGUUGCAAAAGAAGUAGGUAGCUUAACCUUCGGGAGGGCGCUUACCACUUUGUGAUUCAUGACUGGGGUGAAGUCGUAACAAGGUAACCGUAGGGGAACCUGCGGUUGGAUCACCUCCUUACCUUAAAGAA